CUCCAUGAUUGUGCAAUUACCAGGGCCUCUUAUCAACAUUCUACCUGUUUGCAUCUUCCUGCUUGCCAUACUUCGGCCAGAAUCAGAAGCCAGCACUGAGCCAGCACUCAAAAUUUCAAGUGGGGCUGCAUUCAUCUCCCGAUUCCACUUCUUAUUUGAUGACAUCAAGUAGUUCGCAGAAGAGUUAGAUUGCUUGUUUUUCUUCAUUUUCCCAAAAGAUU
rnacentral:lncRNA from 1 species